GACCGACCGACCGUCAACCUCGGAACGACCAGGAUGACUGAAAUAUCGUGUUCGGGGGUUUUCUCGCACGCUGAGUCCAAAUCUGGUAGUGCCGAUGUCGUCCGGGCCCCCCGGGGACGUCAUUGGGGACCUCCCGAGCACGCCGAUGACACUCCCACGACAAAUACGAUUCGGCUCCAAACGUCGUGUACCCCGGCUGGUGCAUAUUUCUUAAAAGUCGCCAAAUGUGAUUAUUAUUAAUAGCAAAUCGCCCAUAAUAGUUUAUUAUCCAGAUCAAUUCACUAUUGUCACAUGGCACUUCCCUGGCGUUGCCGCCUGGAGCCACACAACGAUGCACGGGACGGGAAGCAUCCCCAAAGGAUCACAUCCUGGACAAGUGAGGCGGGAUUGCCUACCCCAGGAGAGAAUCACAUCCCGCGACCACGAUAUGUCGGAACUCGGCCCAGAAAUGUUCUUGACAUGAGCAAGAGAAGUCUAUGGAGUAAUUUUACCCAAAAGAAUAGGUGAGUUGACAUGACAGUAACCAACGCUGGUCUAAUUUGUCUCUGUACAGACAAUAUGAGGAGCUUCCUUUCAUGUGCAUCAAAGGGUGGUUUUUGAUGUUUUUUGUGGUGCCUUGGUUCUUUGUUGUUGCUUUCAAGCCUCCUCUGUCAAAAUCCAGGCUGAUUUGUUAUCACUGAAAAUGUCUUUUAAAAAUCUUGCCAAUUUGGGAAAUUGCUGGAAUUGGUUUGGAUUGAUGGGGCAAACUCCCUUUUCACAUGCUCUGUCUAAAUAUCAUGGUGCCUACCCACUACAGCAGAGUUCUUAGCCGGUGCCCCUUCCUUAGGUAGCCCGCCAGAUUAGACCACCUUUAAAACGCAAGUUUCUGUGGACAGGGGUGGUUUCUGACGGAACCAAAAGUAGUUUUGUGGUUCCCUGGGUCACCCCUGUCGAUUCGACUACUCUUCCGUCAAAAUCCGGACCCAUCAGUUUUCGC